GGUUCCGUGGUCUAGUUGGUCAUGACAUUUCGUUAACAACUUCAGUUGACGCCACCGAAAAGGUCCCCGGUUCGAGCCCGGGCGGAAUCA
rnacentral:tRNA from 1 species